rnacentral:rRNA from 1 species
GCGAACGCUGGCGGCAGGCUUAACACAUGCAAGUCGAACGGUUGUAGCAAUACAGCAGUGGCAGACGGGUGAGUAACGCGUGGGAACGUACCUUUUGGUUCGGAACAACACAGGGAAACUUGUGCUAAUACCGGAUAAGCCCUUACGGGGAAAGAUUUAUCGCCGAAAGAUCGGCCCGCGUCUGAUUAGCUAGUUGGUAGGGUAAUGGCCUACCAAGGCGACGAUCAGUAGCUGGUCUGAGAGGAUGAUCAGCCACACUGGGACUGAGACACGGCCCAGACUCCUACGGGAGGCAGCAGUGGGGAAUAUUGGACAAUGGGCGCAAGCCUGAUCCAGCCAUGCCGCGUGAGUGAUGAAGGCCCUAGGGUUGUAAAGCUCUUUUGUGCGGGAAGAUAAUGACUGUACCGCAAGAAUAAGCCCCGGCUAACUUCGU